rnacentral:rRNA from 1 species
GACGAACGCUGGCGGCGUGCCUAAUACAUGCAAGUCGAGCGAAGCGGCGGAUGGGUGAGUAACGCGUAGAUACACUGCCCUUAAGUCUGGGAUACCAUUUGGAAAACGAUGCUAAUACCGGAUACUACAUGAUGGCCCUUCGAUUCAUUGGAUAGUUGGUAAGGUAAAGGCUUACCAAGGCGAUGAUGCAUAGCCGAGUUGAGAGACUGAUCGGCCACAUUGUGACUGAGACAAGGCCCAAACUCCUACGGGAGGCAGCAGUAGUGAAGCUUCCACAAGGGACGAAAGUCUGAUGGAGCAACGCCGCGUGAGUGAAGAAGGUUUUCGGAUAGUAAAGCUCUGUUGUUGGUGAAGCGGUAAUCAACCAGAAAGUCACGGCUAACUACGUGCCAGCCGCCGCGGUAAUAC